rnacentral:ncRNA from 1 species
AUAAUGAUACUUUGUCCAGUCAAAAGUCGAGCGUGAUAAAACCGUCGCAACCAAAGAGGGCAGCUCGGAGAGAUCCUCGGAGUGGUGAGAUUCCAAUGA